CGUAUAAAAUUUAAUAGUUAGUUUAAUUGUAGAAUUAAAUUAUAAUGUAAACUUAGGUGAAAGUUAUAUUAAAGUUUAAAUAUAGGUAAUAAAUAUAUCAUAUAUAACAUUGGGUAAUAUUGGAUUUAUAUGACGUGGAACUAGACUAAAUUCCUUUAAUUAAUUUUAAUUAAUAUUAAAAAUUUAUAAUAGUUUUGCUGCUAUAUGUUUAUUUUAAAUCCUUUCUAUACAACACCUAACAGUUAAUUUAUUGUCCAAGGAGGUUAAUAAAUUUUAUGGCGGUUUAAGAAAUCCAAAGUCUUUAAAGAAAUGAUGGAUUAAAAUAUUUAAAAU
rnacentral:rRNA from 1 species